rnacentral:rRNA from 1 species
GACAGGGGUCUCGAGCGUUAAUCGGAAUCACUGGGCUUAAAGGGUGCGUAGGCGGGCCUGUAAGUGUCCUGUGAAAUCCCCCGGCUCAACCGGGGAACUGCGGGGCAUACUGCGGGUCUUGAGGAAGGUAGGCGCCGAGGGAACAGUAGGUGGAGCGGUGAAAUGCGUAGAUAUCUACUGGAACGCCGAUGGUGAAGACGCUCGGCUGGGCCUUUCCUGACGCUGAGGCACGAAAGCGUGGGGAGCAAACGGG